rnacentral:rRNA from 1 species
GCACGGUAACGUGUGAAGCUGACCGAUACUAAUCCGCCGAGGGCUUGACCU